rnacentral:rRNA from 1 species
UACAGAGGUCUCAAGCGUUGUUCGGAUUCAUUGGGCGUAAAGGGCGCGUAGGCGGCCCUCCUUGUCGCGUGUGAAAGCCCCGGGCUCAACCUGGGAACGGCGCGCGAGACGGGGGGGCUGGAGUUCGGGAGAGGAGCGUGGAAUUCCCAGUGUAGAGGUGAAAUUCGUAGAUAUUGGGAAGAACACCGGUGGCGAAGGCGGCGCUCUGGACCGAGACUGACGCUGAGGCGCGAAAGCGUGGGGAGCAAACAGG